GCAUAUCAAUAAGCGGAGGAAAAGAAACCAACAGGGAUUGCCUCAGUAACGGCGAGUGAAGCGGCAAAAGCUCAAAUUUGAAAUCUAGCACCUUCGGUGUUCGAGUUGUAAUUUGAAGAUGGUAACCUUGGGUUUGGCUCUUGUCUAUGUUCCUUGGAACAGGACGUCAUAGAGGGUGAGAAUCCCGUCUGAUGAGAUGCCCAUUCCUAUGUAAGGUGCUAUCGAAGAGUCGAGUUGUUUGGGAAUGCAGCUCUAAGUGGGUGGUAAAUUCCAUCUAAAGCUAAAUAUUGGCGAGAGACCGAUAGCGAACAAGUACAGUGAUGGAAAGAUGAAAAGAACUUUGAAAAGAGAGUGAAAAAGUACGUGAAAUUGUUGAAAGGGAAGGGCAUUAGAUCAGACUUGGUGUUUUACGAUUAUCUUCUCUUCUUGAGUUGUGCACUCGUAUUUCACUGGGCCAGCAUCGAUUCGGAUGGUAAGAUAAUGACAGUUGAACGUGGCUCCAUUCGUGGAGUGUUAUAGCUUCUGUUGAUAUUGCCUGUCUGGAUCGAGGGCUGCGUCUU
rnacentral:rRNA from 1 species